rnacentral:rRNA from 1 species
GACGAACGCUGGCGGCGUGCUUAACACAUGCAAGUCGAACGCUGAAGGCCUGGCUUUUGUUGGGUUGGAUGAGUGGCGAACGGGUGAGUAACACGUGAGUAACCUGCCCUCUUCUUUGGGAUAACGCCCGGAAACGGGUGCUAAUACUGGAUAUUCACUGGCCUUCGCAUGGGGGUUGGUGGAAAGGUUUGUUCUGGUGGGGGAUGGGCUCGCGGCCUAUCAGCUUGUUGGUGGGGUGAUGGCCUACCAAGGCUUUGACGGGUAGCCGGCCUGAGAGGGUGACCGGUCACAUUGGGACUGAGAUACGGCCCAGACUCCUACGGGAGGCAGCAGUGGGGAAUAUUGCACAAUGGGCGAAAGCCUGAUGCAGCGACGCCGCGUGAGGGAUGGAGGCCUUCGGGUUGUAAACCUCUUUCGCUCAUGGUCAAGCCGCAACUGUGGGUUGUGGUGAGGGUAGUGGGUAAAGUAGCGCCGGCUAACUACGUGCCAGCAUCCGCGGUAAUACUUAGGGCGCGAGCGUUGUCUGGAAUUAUUGGGCGUAAAGGGCUUGUAUGCGUUUGGUCUCGUCUGCCGUGAUAUUCUCUGGCUUUGCUGUGGGCGUGCGGUGUGUACUGGCUGACUUGAGUGCUGUAGGGAGACUGGAACUCGGGUGUUGCUGUGGAAUGCUGGAUGUCAUGAUAAUGCCGGUGUUAAGGUGUGUCUCUUUGUGCUUUCUGACUGUGAUGAGGUGAGCUGGUGGAUCGAAUAGG